UACGUAGGGUGCGAGCGUUGUUCGGAAUUACUGGGCGUAAAGCGCGCGCAGGCGGUCCUUCAAGUCAGAGGUGAAAGCCCAGAGCUCAACUCUGGAACGGCCUUUGAAACUAGAGGACUUGGGUACGGGAGAGGUGAGUGGAAUUCCGAGUGUAGAGGUGAAAUUCGUAGAUAUUCGGAAGAACACCAGUGGCGAAGGCGGCUCACUGGCCCGUUACCGACGCUCAGGCGCGACAGCGUGGGGAGCAAACAGG
rnacentral:rRNA from 1 species